rnacentral:rRNA from 1 species
ACAUAACUGGAGGUAUUCUGUUCCUUCAUUACUACGCGUUGCACCUUACCAGGUCUUGACAUCCUCUGACAAUCCUAGAGAUAGGACGUCCCCUUCGGGGGCAGAGUGACAGGUGGUGCAUGGUUGUCGUCAGCUCGUGUCGUGAGAUGUUGGGUUAAGUCCCGCAACGAGCGCAACCCUUGAUCUUAGUUGCCAGCAUUCAGUUGGGCACUCUAAGGUGACUGCCGGUGACAAACCGGAGGAAGGUGGGGAUGACGUCAAAUCAUCAUGCCCCUUAUGACCUGGGCUACACACGUGCUACAAUGGACAGAACAAAGGGCAGCGAAACCGCGAGGUUAAGCCAAUCCCACAAAUCUGUUCUCAGUUCGGAUCGCAGUCUGCAACUCGACUGCGUGAAGCUGGAAUCGCUAGUAAUCGCGGAUCAGCAUGCCGCGGUGAAUACGUUCCCGGGCCUUGUACAACCCGCCCGU